AUGCACGCUGGCGGCGUGCCUAAUACAUGCAAGUCGAGCGAGCAGACGAGGAGCUUGCUCCUCUGACGUUAGCGGCGGACGGGUGAGUAACACGUGGAUAACCUACCUAUAAGACUGGGAUAACUUCGGGAAACCGGAGCUAAUACCGGAUAAUAUAUUGAACCGCAUGGUUCAAUAGUGAAAGACGGUUUUGCUGUCACUUAUAGAUGGAUCCGCGCCGCAUUAGCUAGUUGGUAAGGUAACGGCUUACCAAGGCAACGAUGCGUAGCCGACCUGAGAGGGUGAUCGGCCACACUGGAACUGAGACACGGUCCAGACUCCUACGGGAGGCAGCAGUAGGGAAUCUUCCGCAAUGGGCGAAAGCCUGACGGAGCAACGCCGCGUGAGUGAUGAAGGUCUUCGGAUCGUAAAACUCUGUUAUUAGGGAAGAACAAAUGUGUAAGUAACUAUGCACGUCUUGACGGUACCUAAUCAGAAAGCCACGGCUAACUACGUG
rnacentral:rRNA from 1 species